rnacentral:rRNA from 1 species
CCUACGGGUGGCAGCAGUGGGGAAUAUUGCACAAUGGGCGAAAGCCUGAUGCAGCAACGCCGCGUGAGCGAUGAAGGCCUUCGGGUCGUAAAGCUCUGUCCUCAAGGAAGUUAAUGACGGUACUUGUGGAGGAAGCCCCGGCGAACGACGUUCCAGCAGCCGCGGUAAUACGUAGGGGGCUAGGGUUAUCCGGAAUUACUGGGCGUAAGGGGUGCGUAGGUGGUUUCUUAAGUCAGAGGUGAAAGGGUACGGCUCAACCGUAGUAAGCCUUUGACACUGGGGAACUUGAGUGCAGGAGAGGAGAGUGGAAUUCCUAGUGUAGCGGUGAAAUGCGUAGAUAUUAGGAGGAACACCGAUUGCGAAGGCGGCUCUCUGGACUGUAACUGACACUGAGGCACGAAAGCGUGGGGAGCAAACAGGAUUAGAUACCCCUGUAGUC